GAUUUCUGAUUCAUUCAAUUUUCUUUAUAUCAGUGCCGAUUCGAUAUCGGACCAAUGUAUCGGUGCACCUCUACUUUUGUACUAGUACAACAGCUUCAACUAAUAUAUUGAGUAUAUGUAAGUGUAAUAUACAGUGUAUGCUGAAAUUCCUUUACAGGUAGUAGUCUGUUUUGGGAUGAAUGAGAGCAGACUGAUCCAUUUGUGAACCUGUCCCAUUUAUCUUUCUCAGAAAUGCCAAAUAUUGCUUUUUUUUAAAGGUACCUGUAUGAUUUGACACAAGGGGCACAUACCUGUGCAGAAUUACAUGCAUUUAUGGUUCUGCUAGUUACUCCUAAAAAAACAAAAGGCAGAUGGGAACCACUGACCACUUAGGAGGUAGAUUCCUGACAGCAUCUGCCUCCAAAGCUGCUGCUGUAGUAUGAUGUUACACUGAUUAGGAUUGUUUGCACUGACAGUUAAAACAGAAAAAAAGUGGAGUAGGUAGAGUGAAACAUGGUUUCAAGUAUUGAAUGUUAAAUCUCCAGCCUUCUCUAAAAAUGUUAUAAUAUUCCCCUCUAUUCUGGAGACUGUCUAAUCUAAUGAUCUCUGUAUUUACAUAUAGUGUACGGUUAAAUGGUGUUCAGGAGUAUGAGGUCCAAGAUGAGUUUUUACUUGAGGUUUUAAAGCUUGCUUCCUUUAUAUAUUUCUUUUAAAGACAGUCAGUUGCCAGGGUGGCUUAGCUAGUCCCCACCCUGUUUUUAUGCAGUUUAACCCAAAUUUACAUUUUUUAUUAAAACCAUGGUAUUUUUCAUGGCAUCCUGUAUGUAUGAUAACACAUCUGUGACUUUGGAGAUAGGAUGCGUCUUUUAAAAUGGACACCUGUGGUUUAGUGAAUUUGUGUUAAGUAUUUCAUUAGGAGGAAAUAUGCCUCAGUAUAGUGGCACAUGCUCCUAUAGUUUAUGCUCUUUUAUAAACAACCUUUUUUUAGUCUACACAGAUUCUUCUUUUUUGUAUUAAAAAAAGCUAAAUUAUUUGUGAACAAACUAAGCUACUUGGGUACCUAUUUGAUUUCUGUACAUAAAUCACUCUGAAAUUGGCCUUUUCCUGAUCAUUUAAUAUGUUUCUUUUUUUAACUCUGUAUAAAGUGCUUAUUGAACUCUGCAAAGUAUUUUGACUUGAUUGUCAGUGAAAAAAAAUUAAUGGUGAUGAAUUGGUGUUGGCGCAGUAGAUAAAAGCUUGGUAUUGUGCCAGCUAUUGAUCUUGUCUUGCCAUCAGCUUCAGGUUGCAAAAUGGGAUCCUGCAGGCAGGUCCUCAUUCUGGAGGCAGGAAUCACAGAUUUAAAAAAAAACCAGGAAAAAAAUCUAUCUUCUUGUGUCUUACCUGCAUUAGGCAUACAUUUAUGUGACUAGCUGAUGAGCCAUUCAGAGUCUGACUUUUCUUUUCCACAGUGCCCUGUCCACCCAUACGGUUUCAAUAUCAUCAGUUCAAUUUUUGUGCACUUUAAAAUGCCAGGAAUUCAUUGUGGACUUUGUUGUGUUACAUUUUUGUUCAUUGUUCAAUUUCUUCCCCAUUGUAAACGUUGAUAUAAGUAGGAUAAAGUGGAAAAACUUCAGAAACUCAGUUUUAUAAAACAGACUAAUUCAAUCAUGUUGUUGUGAAUGUAUCUUGUAUAAAAUGUAUGACAGUUUGUGUUUCAACAUAAAAGAUUCAUUGUGUAAAAAGUCAUAAAAUAAAAAUAAAGCAGUGCCAUUCAGAUACUUUCCACUAACUGUAAUAGAUACGUGCCCACUUGGAAUAUGUAACUUUGUCUUUUUUUAGCUGCUAGUAGUCUAACAAUUAUGCAUAUUUAAGGGUUUUGUGUUGUGAUAGGUUUUCCUGUUAGCCAGAUUAAAAGCAAAUGAGGAGUGAAAAAACAUUUAUUGACUUCAGAAAAUUGCCUUGAAUUCAGUAUAAAAUUGUCCUCCCUCUGAAG